GACGAACGCUGGCGGCGUGCCUAAUACAUGCAAGUAGAACGCACAGUUUAUACCGUAGCUUGCUACACCAUAGACUGUGAGUUGCGAACGGGUGAGUAACGCGUAGGUAACCUGCCUGGUAGCGGGGGAUAACUAUUGGAAACGAUAGCUAAUACCGCAUAAUAUUAAUUAUUGCAUGAUAAUUGAUUGAAAGGUGCAAAUGCAUCACUACCAGAUGGACCUGCGUUGUAUUAGCUAGUAGGUGAGGUAACGGCUCACCUAGGCGACGAUACAUAGCCGACCUGAGAGGGUGAUCGGCCACACUGGGACUGAGACACGGCCCAGACGCCUACGGGAGGCAGCAGUAGGGAAUCUUCGGCAAUGGACGAAAGUCUGACCGAGCAACGCCGCGUGAGUGAAGGAGGUUUUCGGAUCG
rnacentral:rRNA from 1 species